AAGCUGAACGGAUCGCGAUUAUUUUCAAAUCAAAUUGUUUGUCUCAACAAAUUUGAUGAAGCCCACCCUGGACGAACAAGAUAAAAAAAAAUUUGCAUUUCGUUUUUUGUGGUUUGGUUUUUUUAAUUUGAUUGGUGAUGGGAGGCUGGGAAGGCGGAUUUUUAAAAAUAUCGAUUUCUUGGUGUGGUUAAUUAGCAUAUUUGUGUCGUCUGCUUUCCUUUUGUUUCACAGUUUCGAAAAAGCAAAAAGGGGCCAUAAGUUUCAGAUAUUUUCUAUCAUAGAAAACUGAACGGGUCACCGGUUUGAUGGAAACGUGUACGUGGCUGCAAGAGAAAUAGCAAAACAAAAUUAUAUAAAAUAUAAUCGUCGUGUUAACUUUUAGUGUCGUGACUCAUUCUCCCAUGCUCUCCACUCCAUGCUGUUUCUCAGAUUUCAGGCCUGAAGCCAGCCAUCGAAAACACAAGAUGUGCAAGUUUUGAUACUGACCUGUCAUCACCAACAAUCUCAGCAUCAUCAACUGGAUAAACAGCUCCUAGUUUAAUUGGAAAAACUCUGUCCUCGUGUACACUCUUGUUCACGAUGACACCCUUUCCUUUCCUGCCUGGCGUCAACUUUACUGAGGAUGGAGUACUUGCGGAUGCCUGACUGUAAAUUUCCCCGACUUAAAGGUAGGACAAUUGUCUCUCUAUUCUUCCUUUUUUUGACUAUUUGGUGGCGUUGGUUAUAAAACGUUAUUACGGAGUACGAUAUUUCCUGAGCUAGAUG